UACAGAGGUCCCAAGCGUUGUUCGGAUUCACUGGGCGUAAAGGGUGCGUAGGUGGCGAGGUAAGUCGGAUGUGAAAGCUCGGAGCUCAACUCCGAAAUGGCAUUGGAAACUACCUUGCUCGAGGGUUGGAGGGGGGACUGGAAUGCUUGGUGUAGCAGUGAAAUGCGUAGAUAUCAAGCGGAACACCAGUGGCGAAGGCGAGUCCCUGGACAACUCCUGACACUGAGGCACGAAAGCUAGGGGGGCAAACAGG
rnacentral:rRNA from 1 species